AUACUGAUAGUGGCGCACGGGUGCGUAACACGUAACUAACCUACCCAUCAUUGGGGGAUAGCCCGCCGAAAGGCGGAUUAAUACCGCAUAAGACUAUAGAGCGGCAUCGCUURGUAGUUAAAGAUUUAUUGAUGAUGGAUGGGGUUGCGGGUCAUUAGCUAGUUGGUAAGGUAACGGCUUACCAAGGCGACGAUGACUAGGGGAGCUGAGAGGCUGGUCCCCCACACGGGCACUGAGAUACGGGCCCGACUCCUACGGGAGGCAGCAGUAGGGAAUAUUGGGCAAUGGGCGAGAGCCUGACCCAGCCAUGCCGCGUGCAGGAAGAAGGCUUUCUGAGUCGUAAACUGCUUUUGACAGGGAAGAAUAAGCUUCACGUGUGAAGUGAUGACGGUACCUGCAGAAUAAGCACCGGCA
rnacentral:rRNA from 1 species